CCCCCAAAAAAAAAAAAAAAAAAUCCUGAUGUUUAUAGCAUAUGAAUUUCAUUUUAUCUAUGGUUGCUAAGACAGGCAGCCCUUUUCUUAUGAGUUAUUCCAUAUGCUAUGUUGGAAUUUGUGUGUUGACACAUUUAACGGAGACAUUUUAACAUGUGUUGACAGUUAAGACAUUAAAAAAGACACGUUAACAUGUCUGUGUGUCUCUUUCAUAAAAGCUGGUUAACCAAUGUCUUUUCUGAUACUGAAUGCUUUAAAAUGGACCUACUUCAAAUGUUUCAUUUUGGUCUUCUGUUUCCAUUAAAAAUAAAAAAAUAAAAAAUUUUUAACUUAGUUUCCUAAGAUUUACAUACAACACAGCUAAAUAGACGUGAUAAAUGUUUGUGUUUCGUGGGAUAACUUAGCUUUGAAUUUCUUUUGCCUAUAUAAUAUAAUAACUGUAAGAGAAAGAAACGAGAGUGCACAGACUACUUCAACAGGGUAAAGCUGCAUACAUUAUAACCCUUCCCAGACCCCGCAGUGGCAGGAGCCUCGUGCAAUGGGUACACCUUUUUUUUUUUUGGUAAAAUAUUUUUCUGUUUUUUUAACCGAUAUAAUUUUCUUUUGCUUUUAAGCAUUCCUGUAAAAUAUUUUCCAUUGAAUUGGCAUACCGUUCCUGUAUCUGCCUUUAUACAGUAAAUGACCAUUUCUCUCAUCACAUAUUUUGGUCAGAAACCUUUUUUGUGGGGUCAAGACCCAUCUUUGUUGCAAGGAGUUAUCAAUGGUAAAAGCAGUCAGGUGAAAAUCCUAUAGAAGUCUGGUUCCAAUUCACCACGAUACUGAAAUUUCAUAUCUUGCUUUCUCCUGUUUUUAUCCAUUUGGACAACAAUGGUGGGGGUGCUGGCACUGUCUCUAAUUCUAUAUUAGUUGGCCCAGUUUCCAUUUCACUGACUUGCCUACCACAUGAUGCAGCUUAUUAUAGCACCAUACCUUAGUCUGUUUGGGUGUCUUCUAGUAUAUUAUAAAUGCUAUUUAAAUGAAGGGAAAAGAAUCACCAUGAUGCCAGAGUAUUAUUUCCCUUUCACAUGAGAUUUAUUAUGUUCUCUCUCUUGCUCUGAUUAUGUGAGCCCCAUGUAGAUGACACCAUUCUCCGCACUGCUAUUGGUGUAGCAUGCAGAUUCUCCUCCCACUGUCGCUGUGGGGAACCCUAUACCUUAAGGCCCCGUUUGUUUUGAGGGGUUUAUGGGGUGGGAAAGUAUGACAUGUAGGCCCCACAUGCUUACGGGGUGAGCAACAGGAAAGGAAAGUAUUGUGAUAGUUACUGUUCAAUCCCACCCUUACCGUGUUUGGAUGCAAAUGGGAAAAGUGAAAAGCGAUGGAGAACUGUUCAUCUUCCUCCCUGUUUUUUCUUUUUUUUUUCCGAGCUUGCUACUGCAGCUUGUGCAAUAAUAGAGGUCGUAAAUCGAGACAAGAUCUUGGGUGAUGGUGGUAUUAGAGUAGGCGUUGGAAGAGAGAGAAGAGAGGAGGGUGUUGGGGUUGGAUCCGGAAAGAGGAAUUUGUGUCUAGGCAAAUGAAGCCGUUGUAAAUUGGGUUGCCGCAGAUGCAGAAGCUGAUCAAGAAAGAGAGGGCGACGAAGAAGAAGGGCAAAACGUAUUGGGUUCAUUCCAAUCCCAAGUGCAAUGGGAACAUUGGGUUUAAAAACAAAAAAUAAAAAAAUCCAACUGUGAAGUAAACGUUAGGUUUUUAGAAAAAAUCCAAAUGCAAUUGGGUUUAAAAAAAAUAAAAAUCCCUAUAAUACUACUGUUCAUCUUCUUCUCUGUUUUUCUAUUUUGUUUUUUGUGUUUUUUUAUGAUGUUUUCAGCGUAGGUUACAGGCUGCAAGUAGACGAGAUCACAAGCAUGUGGUGGCUUGCGGGUACUGUUGUGGUGGCUUGUGAUGCAAGUGAGGAACCCAUUUCCAGCAACUUUGUUGGCUUGCAACAGUAGCUGUUUAGUGUUGCAGCGACCGUGCACGAUGGUUGGGGGCGUGCAACACGGUGAUGAGAGACGGGUUGGCAUGCGGUUAAGAGCGUCAAGCCUCUAAGUUGCAAAAUCCCAGCAAAGUCCUACCGAUUUUGCGGGACUUUGCAAAGGGGUGGGGUGGGAGAAUUGCUAUGCCACGUGGGCCGACAGGAAAAAAGAGUUUGUCUGCUCAAACUCCCACCCCAAUUAACCGAACGCCCUAACUGCUCAUUGGGGUGGGAUAAUUCAUACAAGAAUCCCACCCCAAGAAUCCCACCCCAUCAAAAUACCACUAAUCAAACGGGCCCUAAUUGUAUGAUUCUGUUUAUGCACUGCUAUCUGUCUAAGAUGUGUCAACAUGAUAAGUUUUAACUUAUUUUCUUUGGAGUUUUUCCCACAGGUGAUCCUCUUUUCGAUUUGAUUCCAAUACAUCUGGAUGUCUUCAGAGGAAAUUCAUCUCUACUUAAGCAGUUUCUAGAAAGUUACAGACUUCCCUUCGUGAGAAGAACAUUACAAUACGAACCAGUAGAAAGUCAGAAUAAGUUUAGACAACUUUCAUACCAUGCCAUGUGCUAUUGUAUCUUGCAUGACGAGAAUAUAUUGGGAGCUAUCUUUAGCCUAUGGAAGGAAUUGAGGUCUGCAAAAUCAUGGGAAGAGGUUGAAGAGGCUGUCUGGGGUGAUUUGAACAAAUAUGAAGGUUUCUGUUAGUGCAGCUCCUCACAUUCCUGAAAGAACCUUUGCCUGUCAACAAAAGUACCUGCAAAAACCUCAGCCUAUCUAUGAAAAGUCCCUGCUCAACAGCUAGCAUCUGUUAAAGGCUGCAAUUGAUGGCAAGUGGUCUUUCCAUUGCCACUUCAAGUGCCUUAUCUAUUUUCCAGAAUUUCUAAAUUUUGUGUUUCACCCCUAUUUAUCAUUUGGAUCAGCUAGAGGAAGUCUUAACUGGUGAAAUUUUGGGUCCUUCAAGUGCCUUAUCUAUUUUACAGAAUUUCAAAAUUUUGUGUUUCACCCCUAUUUAUCAUUUGGAUCAGCUAGAGGAAGUCUUAACUGGUGAAAUUUUGGGUCCACUUUUUGUUUUAUCUUAUUGUGUAUUUAUGUAUGUUGGUAGCUCUCGGAACAAUUUUUUUCUUUUACUUCUAGCAUAUACAUAGAAGGGGGAAAAAAAAAGCACAUACAUAGAAGAAGGUGAGGAAAUGAAAACUGAUGAUGAUUGAUGAACAAGAUUUUCUGUUUGAAAUGCA